UUCAAACUGCCUCUAUCAGCCGUCGAAGGCCGUAGACCGCACGACCCAAGCCAGUCGCCCGCGCCGUCGCCGCUCCAGUUUUUGACUGCUGCGUGCCGCACCAAUCUUGCCAGCCGGAGGUGCCAUCUGAGUCGUCACUGCCUGCUUCGCCCUCACGCCGCUCGAUCCGUCUAGUUCUGUUGCUGACCGUUCGCACGCCGCCAGCCCAGCUGCCGAUCUCCAUCGGUCACUGCCUCCCUUCGCCACCGUUUGUCAGAUUUUGGCUUAUGGUGAAGUUUUGGAUUCAAGCAUUGAAGGAAUUUUAAGGUCGAAGUGUGUUGUCAGACAUUGCACAGGAUUAAGUUGGGUUCACAAACGGAUUUGAGUUUGAAACUAAUUUUGGACCAAGCAACAUUUUGAUUAAGGCACUUAUUUGAGAGACUGAAGACAAUUUGGAACAAACUACACUUUGAGCUUUAGAUUCAAGUUUUGGAGAAGUUUUGAAUUUAGACGCUAACGACUUGAGUUUGAUUCUAACAAAAUUUUGGUGUUAGAACUUUGAGAUGAUCUUGGUCAAACCACUUUUGGGAUCUCAUUCAAAAGUUGUGGAAAGCUAGAAAGGAGUUUGUUCGCGUGAUUUAACCUUUGGACUUUAUUUGAGGAAAAGGUAAAGAUGUACCGGCGAUGGCGCAGCGGAAUUCGUGAUCGUGUUAUUGGGACUAGACCUUUUCGCUUCCGCAUCUUGAAAUUUGUUAUUUGGUUUUACUGUUUAAAAUUUAUUACUAAGGAUUAUUUCUUUUAUAUGCCUUUGAUUAGCCUUUAAGAAUUUUGGGUACCCUAUUAACUGUUUUAACAAUUACAUUUAAUAAACGCCUUUUGAACUUCUCUUAUUUAAUUAGCAUUUAUUUCAAAUAACUGAGCGUUUUUAAAUUUUGUGCAUGUAUUUAUUUUAGUAAUGGCCUUACCUAAGUCCUAGGGGGUCGGGUCGUUACAUUUACACCAAGUGGCAUCUCUACCAUUUCAAUGAAUUGUUAAAAAAACAAGUUCACGGUUCACAUUUAUGCUAAAACCCCCACAUGGUGGUCGAUCAUAAUCAACUUCAUCAACAUCAUCAAUCAUAUUACCAUUUGUAAACAACAUAAAUUCCAAAAAUUUAUCCGUCAUUUUCCAAAAGAAAAAAGACAAACAAUACAUUCAAAGUUGGGCAAACAUCCCCUAAAUUCUCUCUCCCACAAUUUUACUUUUCCCAUUCACUUCUCUCAUCAGUGAGUUUUAGAGUUUUCUUCCUCUCGUCUUUUUCUCAGUUGAUAUAUUUUCUUUUCAUAAUUAUUCUCUCCUCUGUUUUUUCUUCAUUUCUUCUCACUCUCUUCCUCUUUGUCCAGUGAAUGCUAGAAUGAAACAUACUUCCAUUCUUUCUUUCUAGGCUCAUCUUCCAUCUUUCAAUCAUUAAUUUCUCUCUUAUUUCAAUUUUUAAUGCAGAGAUCUCUGAUUACUCUCUUGUACAGUUCUCAAAUUUCCUUCUUCUUUACUUGCAAAAACCAUAUGUGCAAUGUAUUUUCCUUCACACACUCUAAUGUUCCCAAAAAAACCAUUGGACCCAUAAACCAUGAUGGAGUUCUAGGGCGGCGGUGGGGGAAUGGUGAUUCUGCAAGUAGUGGCAAGAUGAGUUCCGAUUACCAAAAAAAUUCCUCGUUUCGGUAGUCCCAAAAUAGGGGUAGCGGCAAAAUGAGUGAUUGUCCGGCAAGAUGAAUUCCAAUUAUGGUGAAAAUUUUUCAUGGCACCCAAAUAAAUUUAUACUGAGCAUCCGUCGGUGUUUGGAAGUAAGAUUUUUAGUCAAAAGGACAAAUAUGAGAAAGACCCAUUUCACCCACCAUGGCUACUGUACUUACUCAGCAUAAUUCGUUGCAAUUCAAAAAGGAAGGAGGUGGAAACAGCCAGUGGUUUCGCUGAAGAAUACUAGCAUCGAAGCAGCUCCCAAAGUUCAGCUGAAAAAGUACUAGCAUCGAAGCAGCUUGCAGCUCUGAAAGUUCAGCUAAGUUUCACCUUUCCAUGGGCAUGUGAAGUUGUGAACUGUAUGAUUCCGUGCGAGUUGGUGUUUGAGGCAUCUUAUUUCAUUUACCAAUGGACUUCAGCAUCUCCUUGUUUCUUGUUUUAGUUUCUCUACCCACUAUUUUGGCUCAGAGAGCUACACACGCUAGUAUCAUAGUAGAUGGAGCUGCAGUAGUUGCUGAAACUGAUGAUAACUAUAUUUGUGCCACCAUUGAUUGGUGGCCUCAUGAUAAGUGUAAUUACAAUCGUUGUCCAUGGGGGUAUUCUUCUGCAGUAAAUUUGAACUUGUCUCAUCCUCUCCUCUUCCU